UACGUAGGGUGCGAGCGUUGUCCGGAAUUAUUGGGCGUAAAGAGCUCGUAGGCGGUCUGUCGCGUCGGCUGUGAAAACUCGGGGCUCAACCCCGAGCCUGCAGUCGAUACGGGCAGACUAGAGUGCGGUAGGGGAGACUGGAAUUCCUGGUGUAGCGGUGAAAUGCGCAGAUAUCAGGAGGAACACCGGUGGCGAAGGCGGGUCUCUGGGCCGUAACUGGACGCUGAGGAGCGAAAGCGUGGGGAGCGAACAGG
rnacentral:rRNA from 1 species